rnacentral:lncRNA from 1 species
AAAGGAUUGCACUGGCUCCACAUGGCCCUGGAGGUCCUGGGUGAAGUAUGAGGUUGAAGUAAGGAAAUGGCUGGAGGUGGAAUAAGCUGACCGAGGAAGAGAAGACAAUGGUUCAAAGGGUCUGCCAGGCUAUUUUUAUCAUGGAAGUCUGGAAGGAAAAUGAUGUCACAUACCGAGAAAAGUGCCCAGCUAUUCCAACAGACCACAGCUGAAAAAUUCUUGUUUUUAUUUGUUUCUCUCAGAAUUGAGAUCAUUCAAAAAAGGGAAGAAAUGUUACAAGGAUUCCCCGAAACGAAUUCUGCCCUACUGCUUUCAAGUAAGGAAAAGAACAAAGAAGAAAGAAAGUCACAGGAAGCAGAAAGAGUAUAGAUGUGAUUUUUUUUUUCUGUUCCUUUUGGGAAUGGGAGUUCUUUCUCUUCAGAAAAUGGUGGUGCUACUUGCAGAUGAGUGAGACCCUGAUGUAGUCCAUGCACUGGCAGGGGACACUGGGGAUUGGGUUUUGCAUUCGGGGUUGUAAAUAGUCUCUUAGAGGCAGGUCCAACCUUCUUUGGCCAAUAUUCCCAGAAUAACCCAGGCCUGCUUUUGGCAUUUAGGUUUUCAGACAAAAGAUAUCUUUGUUUGUGCUGCUAUAACAAAAUACCACAGAAUGGGUAAUUUAUAAACAAUAGAAAUUUAUUUCUCAUGGUUCUGGAGGCUGGGAAGUCCAAAAUCAAGUUCAGCAUGUUGGGUUUCUGGUGAGGGCUAUGCUCUGCAUCGAAGAUGGCAUCCCAUCGCUGCAUCCUCUGGAAGCAACAAACGCUGUGUCUUCACACAGCAGAAGGGACAGAAGGGCAAGAGAGGGCUCCCUCAAGCUGUUUUAUAAGGGUGCUAAUUCCAUUCAUGAGGGCAGAGCCCUCAUAAUUUAAUAUACCAUUAAACUGGAGAUUAAGUUUCAAUUGGAAUUUUGGAGUGGAUGCCAUCAUUCAAACCACUGCAACCUAGGAAGCUCUAGGGAGUCCAUUGGGCUCUUGGUGAGAAUUGUAUUCUUUAACAUCUUAUUUCAUGUUUGCUCCUUUAUCUGUGUUUCUUAUUUGUUUAUGAUAAGGAGGCUGGAGACAGUUGAUUAUCAUUUUAGGGGAAAAAUGAUGCUUUCCCAGGAAGUUCCCAGGACAGAAGAAAGGGAGGAGGCACUGAGUGGGAGAGAAGAGACACUGUUUCUAGAACAUGGUGCAGGAAGCCACAGCUUCCUGUUCCAGUCAGAGGGAGCAUUGGGUCAGCUUUG